rnacentral:rRNA from 1 species
AGCGAACGCUGGCGGCAGGCCUAACACAUGCAAGUCGAACGAACCUUUCGGGGUUAGUGGCGGACGGGUGAGUAACACGUGGGAACGUGCCUUUAGGUUCGGAAUAACUCAGGGAAACUUGUGCUAAUACCGAAUGUGCCCUUCGGGGGAAAGAUUUAUCGCCUUUAGAGCGGCCCGCGUCUGAUUAGCUAGUUGGUUGAGGUAAUGGCUCACCACGGCGACGAUCAGUAGCUGGUCUGAGAGGAUGAUCAGCCACAUUGGGACUGAGACACGGCCCAAACUCCUACGGAGGGCAGCAGUGGGGAAUCUUGCGCAAUGGGCGAAAGCCUGACGCAGCCAUGCCGCGUGAAUGAUGAAGGUCUUAGGAUUGUAAAAUUCUUUCACCGGGGACGAUAAUGACGGUACCCGGAGAAGAAGCCCCGGCUAACUUCGUG